GGAGUAAUUUGGUGCUUUUGUCACUGGAACAUUUUCAUAGCUCGCGUCGCGUCGCGAGUGUAGUAUACAGCUCAAUAUUCAAAGGUUCAGAGUUAUAGUGGUUGGAGAAAACUCAUCGAUUUCCAGUGUCCGCUCUGUCGUAGUAUUUAUUUGUGGCUACCGAUGCGAAUACGGAAAUGAACAGCUCACAAUACUAUCAGCUCGUCUGCCUAUACCAGCUGCUGCUGCUCGAGCUAUGCUCUUCGAAGGCAGUCUACAGGAGAGACCACGCUAAGUUCAGUUUGGGGUCGAUGUUCGACACCGGCCUCUCUUUCCUCCACCCGGCCGUGGCGGCGGGUUCUAGUCGGUGUGACAAUCUGAAAAGCUUCUUCGGACUCACCUACGAGCAGAUCCAAGAGAAAAACGCUACUGAUUUCUUCAAACAACUCACUAUAGACCUUAUCACCAACGACACAACGCUGAAAUACAACCUGACACACCACCAUUUGGGAAGGGUUCUGAACAAUGCUACCCAGAUAGUGAUCCUGAUCCAUGGAUUCCUGGAGAGCUCCGACGGCUGGAUGGUGCAGGCGGUGGCUCCAGGGUUCCUGAAGAUGAAGAACUACAUGGUGUUAGCACUAGACGCUCGGAAUGUGAUCACGAUAGACUACUUCCGGUCCUCGACCUACGCCAGGUUCAUGGGAAUGAAGUUGGGGUCAACGCUUGCGCAGAUUAUUCAAAACGGCCAAGACCCCUCCACCAUCAUGCUAGUCGGUCACAGCCUGGGCGCCCACGUGGCGGGGAUAGCCGGGCAGAGAGUCGCCGAGCUGACCGGGCGAAAGCUGGCCCGGAUCACCGGCCUAGACCCGGCUCUACCGUGCUUUCCCCCGGACAACCCGGGCGGAAGACUAGAUGCAACUGAUGCGGACUACGUCGACGUGAUACACACCAACGGAGGCAUAUUGGGAAUGAAAGAGAGUGUCACAAGGACUUCUAUCCCAACGGAGGGCUGAGUCAGCCGGGCUGCUAUCUAUCCACCUGUGAUCACAGUCGUGCCUGGGAACUGUACGCGGAGUCUAUCGGGGCACCGAAGGGAUUUCCUGCGCGAAAGUGCGAAAACUGGACGUCAUUUCGAGAAGGACAUUGCUCCAAGACUGAAGUGACAUACAUGGGAUUGAACUCCGUAAAGGGAAGCCAGGGAGCCUACUUCUUAACCACUGGACCUAAGCCCCCGUUCGGACUUGGACCGACCGGCAGUGGGUGACAUGACACGAGAAUUAUACAUUUAAAAAUAA